rnacentral:rRNA from 1 species
AAUGAACGUUGGCGGCGUGGAUUAGGCAUGCAAGUCGUGCGCGAAACGUAGCAAUACGUGGAGAGCGGCGAAAGGGAGAGUACAACACGGUUAGCUACCCUCGGGACUGGGAUAGCGGCGGGAAACUGCCGGUAAUACCAGAUGACGUCUUCGGACCAAACGUGUAAACCGGCCCGAGGAGGCGACCGUGUCCUAUCAGCUAGUUGGCGGUGUAAUGGACCACCAAGGCUAAGACGGGUAUGGGGCGUGAGAGCGUGCCCCCACUCACUGGGACUGAGACACUGCCCAGACACCUACGGGUGGCUGCAGUCGAGAAUCUUCGGCAAUGGGCGCAAGCCUGACCGAGCGACGCCGCGUGCGGGAUGAAGGCCUUCGGGUUGUAAACCGCUGUCGUAGGGGAGGAAGGUCUGGUGUAGAGCCAGGCUUGACCGAUCCUAGGAGGAAGGGCCGGCUAAUCUCGUGCCAGCCGCCGCCGUAAUAC